rnacentral:lncRNA from 1 species
CAACAACCUAUUAUUUUCCUUUUCACCAACUUUUGGCUACUCCCUGAUCACAUUCAGGGUGCAAAAAUGCUAGGAGUGAACAGUUAACCAAUCCCUAUCCUGCACCAGCACAUAUGACAGAACCUAUUUGGAAUUCUUUUACAGGAUGCACUAGCUAAUGCAGAUAAGCUCUGUGGCAUCAAUUCACCCUCCAGAAGAAACCCAAAUAGCAACACAGGAUGAAGGUCAAGGAUUAACUGAUGCUAAUGGAAAUGUUCCCAGUGACCGUCCAGAUAAAAUAUUGUAUCCCAGCUGAUGAGGCCGGCACAUGAUGACAACACUACAAGCACCAAGAAAAUUGAUGCGAUGGCCUGUCUUAAGUUGGCUUCCUCUAUUGGUCUUUUAUCUGACAAGACACCUUUGGCAAAGUCUCAUCAAUAUGCUACUUUUCAUCUGCCUGACACUGAAAUCAAUGGACUGCAGAAGAAGCCUCUCGAUCAGCAUUGUCAGAAAUGAUCACCAUGCUGGACGGAGCAUGCUACCUGAUUUCUCCUGACUGAACUCCCACAAAAGCAUGGCUGCAAAUCCCAGAGAAAGAAGAAAGAGAACUUACAUAAAGGAGGCUUUCUGGAGAACUCGCUGUAAGAGGGUCAAUGCGGAAAUAUGGAAUGUGCUUAGGAGUCCACUGAAGCAGUCCAGUCCACCCCUGCAGGGAUGCCUUUCCCAGCCUGCAUGGAUUCUGACACUGGACACCCUGCUGUGGACCAUCUUCAACCUGCUUAGGCUCUGGACCACUGCAGUCCAUCUCCGACACACACAUACCUCGGAUGCUUGCCUUGCUCUGCCCCACUUCACGAUUUAGGACCGAAUUUUUCAGGAAGGAAAGAGAAGAGCUCUGAAAGACUUUUAACAGAAAAUAAAGGGCUUCUAGGAUGUCUACAGACUUGUAGUUUGUCAUUUUCUAAUCUUAAUGUUUAUAACUAAUAUUUUAGUAUGAAUUAUUAAUUUAUCUGAGGUGAAUAAAAUUCACUGAGUUCAUUGGUAUCUCAUAAGAUGUAAAACUAGUUCUUCUGAUAUUCUGGAGAAAUGUUUAUUUUAUCUGAUAUCUGUCUUCUAUGAGCAGAUGGAGUGAGCCAUUCAUAUUUUUUUUUCAUUUUGAAGAAGACCGAGGUCUGGAAAAGCUUCAAAAAUUGCGGGUCUAUAGCAAUUGAUUAAUAAUUAAUAGUAAGCCAUGUGACAUUCUAGCAUGUCACUUAGUAAUCACCAUAGUUUUAAGGAAAGCUUACUGCUUAGUGAAUGUCUUUUUCUGUUUUUCACUUCUCUAAAAUCUUUUAAUGCACCUUAUUGGGUUUUGGUGUAAAUUAUGAAUAAGAAAGACAUUUUUCUCAGUUUUUAUGAGGUUAAAAAAUUGAUUUAUAAAAUGUUAACUUUAAGAAUUCAUUCUUUUCAUUUGGUUCACUGUGUCAAGUUUGUUUGGAAAUGCGACCUGUGUGUGCCUGUGUGUCAUCACUUUGCAUGCAAGUUUUCUCCGGC